CGUAGGGGGCAAGCGUUGUCCGGAUUUACUGGGUGUAAAGGGUGCUCAGGUGGCUUGGAAAGUCAGUGGUGAAAUCUGAGAGCUUAACUCUCAAACUGCCAUUGAUACUUCUUAGCUUGAGUACGGAAGAGGCUGAUGGAAUUUCAGGUGUAGCAGUGAAAUGCGUAGAUAUCUGAAAGAACACCAGUGGCGAAGGCGGUCAGCUGGUCCGUUACUGACACUAAAGCACGAAAGCGUGAGUAGCAAACAGGAUUAGAUACCCUGGUAGUCCACGCCCUAAACGAUGAAUACUAGACGUUGGAUGUAAAAAUUCAGUGUCGCAGCUAACGCAUUAAGUAUUCCACCUGGGGAGUACGAUCGCAAGGUUG
rnacentral:rRNA from 1 species